CCAUAAUUAUACACAUCAAACUCCAUUCCUUUCAAGCUCGUAAACGUAUAUUUUGCAACAUAAAUCAAUAACCAAAUUAAAUGAAUAUAAACAAAAUUUCAAUCAGAAAUAAAUUUAUAUAAUAAAUCUUCACCUGGAGUAAUGUAUCAUAAUGUCCCAAGUAAAGUGGUUGGUGGUGAUCGCCUGUAAUAGUUUGUGAUGUUCUUGAACUACUUGGGUAGAGUUGGGGUAGAGUUGGGAACCCAUGGUUAUGGAGAAAUCAAUUUCAAUUUAGAAAAUCGAUCUCAGAAAACUCAAUAACAGAAAUACAAAUAAAAUAAAAAAAUCAAGGAUUGAUGAGGCUGUCAAUCGAUUUCGAUUAUAUGAAUCGGUUUUCAAGGGAAAAGAAGAAGAACAUUCGAUCUAUUUAAAGAUAAUCUAUUUUCAGGGGAAAAAACUUACCUGCAACAUGAGGCCGUCGUCGCUGGCGGUGCUAGCGGAGGCUGUCGGAGGUGGUGAAUGUUGUCGGAGAAGAGUCAAUGUUGUCAGAGUUUAGCGUUGGAAGUCGUGAGGGGAGUCGAUUUAGGGAGGUCAGCGACCGGAGGAGGUAGAAGAAGCGAUAGACGCUCGAGAUGGUUGGAGGAGGGAGGAGAUGGAAGAGGGGAUCUGAAGGCGAAGGCGGUUGUGUGGUUUUGGAAUCCGUAAGAGGGUAAAAGAGAGAAGGACGCGUUCUUUUUCUUUUCAGAUACAAG
rnacentral:lncRNA from 1 species